rnacentral:rRNA from 1 species
AAAAAAGGAGGUAGGCGGUGAUCUUAGGCAAAUCCGGGAUCACUUACGCCGAGCACCGAGACGAGUCCUAUGAGGACGAAGUGACUGACACCACGCUUCCAGGAAAAGCCACUAAGCUUCAGCUUAAGAAAAACCGUACCGCAAACCGACACAGGUAGGCAGGGUGAGAAUCCCAAGGCGCUUGAGAGAACUCGGGUGAAGGAACUAGGCAAAAUGGCACCGUAACUUCGGGAGAAGGUGCGCCCUUUGGUGUGGUCACGUGCGUGACUGAGCAUCGAAGGGUCGCAGUAACCUGGCCGCUGCGACUGUUUAUCAAAAACACAGCACUCUGCAAACACGAAAGUGGACGUAUAGGGUGUGACGCCUGCCCGGUGCUGGAAGGUUAAUUGAUGGGGUCAGCCGCAAGGCGAAGCUCUUGAUCGAAGCCCCAGUAAACGGCGGCCGUAACGAUAACGGUCCUAAGGUAGCGAAAUUCCUUGUCGGGUAAGUUCCGACCUGCACGAAUGGCGUAACGACAGCGGCGCUGUCUCCACCCGAGACUCAGUGAAAUUGAAAUCGCUGUGAAGAUGCAGCGUUCCCGCGGCAAGACGGAAAGACCCCGUGAACCUUUACUAUAGCUUUACACUGAACGUUGAGUUCUUCUGUGUAGGAUAGGUGGGAGGCUAUGAAACCAGGACGCUAGUUCUGGUGGAGCCAUCCUUGAAAUACCACCCUGAAGUGCUUGACGUUCUAACCUAGGCCCGUAAUCCGGGUCAGGGACCGUGUAUGGUGGGUAGUUUGACUGGGGCGGUCUCCUCCCAAAGAGUAACGGAGGAGCACGAAGGUACGCUCAGCGCGGUCGGACAUCGCGCACUGUGUGCAAAGGCAUAAGCGUGCUUGACUGCGAGAUCGACGGAUCAAGCAGGUACGAAAGUAGGUCUUAGUGAUCCGGUGGUUCUGUAUGGAAGGGCCAUCGCUCAACGGAUAAAAGGUACUCCGGGGAUAACAGGCUGAUACCGCCCAAGAGUUCAUAUCGACGGCGGUGUUUGGCACCUCGAUGUCGGCUCAUCACAUCCUGGGGCUGUAGCCGGUCCCAAGGGUAUGGCUGUUCGCCAUUUAAAGUGGUACGCGAGCUGGGUUCAGAACGUCGUGAGACAGUUCGGUCCCUAUCUGUCGUGGGCGUUGGAGAUUUGAGGGGGGCUGCUCCUAGUACGAGAGGACCGGAGUGGACGUUCCGCUGGUGUUCGGGUUGUCAUGCCCAUGGCAUUGCCCGGUAGCUACGAACGGAAGUGAUAACCGCUGAAAGCAUCUAAGCGGGAAGCACGCCCCAAGAUGAGAUCUCCCGAGAGCUUGACUCUCCUAAAGGCACCAUCAAGACUAGGUGGUUGAUAGGUCAGGUGAGGAAGCGCAGCAAUGCGUUGAGCUAACUGAUACUAAUGAGCCGUGAGGCUUGACC